rnacentral:rRNA from 1 species
CUAACAGGAUUCCCCUAGUAACUGCGAGUGAAGCGGGAAAAGCUCAAAUUUAAAAUCUGGCGGCCUCCGGUCGUCCGAGUUGUAGUCUGGAGAAGUGUUUUCCGCGUCGGACCGUGUAUAAGUUUCCUGGAACGGAGCGUCAUAGAGGGUGAGAAUCCCGUCUUUGACACGGACUGCCGAUGCUUUGUGAUGCGCUCUCGAAGAGUCGAGUUGUUUGGGAAUGCAGCUCAAAAUGGGUGGUGAAUUCCAUCUAAAGCUAAAUAUUGGCGAGAGACCGAUAGCGAACAAGUACCGUGAGGGAAAGAUGAAAAGCACUUUGGAAAGAGAGUUAAACAGUACGUGAAAUUGUUGAAAGGGAAACGAUUGAAGUCAGUCGCGUCCGCCGGGACUCAGCCUUGCGUUCUCGCUCGGUGUACUUUCUGGUGGACGGGCCAGCAUCAAUUUUGAUCGUCGGAAAAGGAUCGGGGAAAUGUGGCACCUUUCGGGGUGUGUUAUAGUCUCCGGUCGCAUACGACGGUUGGGAUUGAGGAACUCAGCAUGCCUUUACGGUCGGGGGUUCGCCCACGUUUCAUGCUUAAGGAUGCUGGGCGUAAUGGGCUUUUAAACGACCCCGUCUUUGAAACACCGGACCAAGGGAGUCUAAACAUGGCCCCGCGAAUGGUUCCGGGUGGGAAAAACCCCGUGGCGCCGUAAUUGAAAAGUGGAAAAGUUGGGGGACCUCCUUGUCCGCGGAAAGGGCACCCGACCGCCCCGGAACCAGAAACUUUCUUGUUGACCGGAAUCUUGCCGGUAAGAAGCCGUGGUAUUGUUUGGGGAACCCCGAAAAGAAUGGGUGGAAACUAAUGGCCCUGGAAAUAAGGGGUGGAAAAGCCCGGAAGGAA